CUCGGGGAAACCUGAGCUAAUACUGGAUAAGCCCUCACGGGGAAAGCUUUAUGCGCCAAAAGAUGAGCCCGCACUUGAUUAGCUUGUUGGUGAGGUAAAAGCUCACCAAGGCAACGAUCAAUAGCUGUUCUUAGAGGAAGACCAGCCACAUUGGGACUGAGACACGGCCCAGACUCCUACGGGAGGCAGCAGUAAGGAAUCUUGCACAAUGGGGGAAACCCUGAUGCAGCGAUGCCGCGUGAGUGAAGAAGGCCUUUGGGUUGUAAAACUCUUUCGUCGGGGAAGAAAAUGACUGUACCCGAAUAAGAAGGUCCGGCUAACUUCGUGCCAGCAGCCGCGGUAAUACGAAGGGACCUAGCGUAGUUCGGAAUUACUGGGCUUAAAGAGCUCGUAGGUGGUUAGAAAAGUUGGUGGUGAAAUCCCAAGGCUCAACCUUGGAACUGCCAUCAAAACUUUCUAGCUUGAGUGUGAUAGAGGAAAGUGGAAUUUCUAGUGUAGAGGUGAAAUUCGUAGAUAUUAGAAAGAACACCAAAUGCGAAGGCAACUUUCUGGAUCACUACUGACACUGAGGAGCGAAAGCAUGGGUAGCGAAGAGGAUUAGAUACCCUCGUAGUCCAUGCUGUAAACGAUGUGUGCUAGACGUUGGAAAUUUAUUUUCAGUGUCGCAGCAAAAGCGUUAAGCACACCGCCUGGGGAGUACG
rnacentral:rRNA from 1 species